CUUCGGUACAUCGGUGACAGGUGGUGCAUGGUUGUCGUCAGCUCGUGCCGUGAGAUGUUGGGUUAAGUCCCGCAACGAGCGCAACCCCUAUUGUUAGUUGCCAUCAUUCAGUUGGGCACUCUAGCGAGACUGCCGGUAAUAAACCGGAGGAAGGUGGGGAUGACGUCAAAUCAUCAUGCCCCUUAUGACCUGGGCUACACACGUGCUACAAUGGUUGGUACAACGAGUUGCGAGUCGGUGACGGCGAGCUAAUCUCUUAAAGCCAAUCUCAGUUCGGAUUGUAGGCUGCAACUCGCCUACACGAAGUCGGAAUCGCUAGUAAUCGCGGAUCAGCACGCCGCGGUGAAUACGUUCCCGGGCCUU
rnacentral:rRNA from 1 species